GAAAGAUUGUCCAAAUCUAGCAUUAGCAUCUCUGGCCUGCUGCUACGUGCCAUUGCUAUGGACAUUUACUUGCUUUGUUUGAUUGCACAAGAUUCAGUCCACCAUUUCCUUUUGGAAUCUCUUGCCGUCUCGCGUUUGAUAUUAAGCAUGUCAUUUACAUUUCGCAUGAUGGCCUCCCAAUCCUGAGUGGCCAAAAUUACACGAGUACAAUCAGAAAUUCUAGAUGUAUUUACAAGAUCUUUCAGCAUAGCUCGGAUGUAGGUUUAAAAUGUGAGAGUGGCCGUUGAGCAAUUGGUUAGCAAUGUAAUUUGAAAUGUAAACUUCAAUUGGGUUGAUAAAACAAAGUUCAAGGUGGGAUCCACUUCGAAUUGGCUUUGACGUCACGCUGGCUUGGCCUCACCAAUUUAUUGGCAUUGGUCCUCAGGACAAUGACGUGCAGCGUAACCUGAGGAGCUUGCCUAAACCAAUCGCAGUUAACUGCAUUCAAAGGAUUAUGGACCCACGAUUAGAAUAAAUGUGAGCUCAAUUAAAAGCUAAUGGAAACGAUAGACUUAUCUCAAUUUGUUUCAUGAAAAACCAAACCAAUAAGCGUAGAGAACACUCUUGUCACGGGUAACGUUUGAUGGACACUUUUCUUUUUUUUUAAUCGAAGUUUGAUGGAUACAUUUGGCAAAAGGCAGAAUACAAA
rnacentral:misc_RNA from 1 species